rnacentral:rRNA from 1 species
CCUACGGGCGGCAGCAGUGGGGAAUAUUGGGCCAUGGGCGCAAGCCUGACCCAGCAACGCAGCGUGAAGGAAGAAGGCUUUCGGGUUGUAAACUUCUUUUCUGAGGGACGAAGAAAGUGACGGUACCUCAGGACUAAGCGACGGCUAUCUACGUGCCAGCAGCCGCGGUAAUACGUAGGGGGCGAGCGUUGUCCGGAAUCACUGGGCGGAAAGGGCGCGUUGGCGGUAAUAUAAGUCAGAUGUGAAAGGUGGGGGCUCAACCCCGAGAGUGCAACUGAUAAUGUAUAACGUGAGUGUGGUAGAGGGAAGCGGAAGUCCUAGUGUAGCGGUGAAAUGCAUAGAUAUUAGGAGGAACACCAGUGGCGAAGGCGGCUUUCUGGCUCAUAACUGACGCUGAGGCGCGAAAGCGUGGGGAGCAAACAGGAUUAGAUACCCCUGUAGUC